rnacentral:rRNA from 1 species
GUACACGCUGUGACUAGCAUAUCAAUAAGCGGAGGAAAAGAAACUAACAAGGAUUCCCUUAGUAACGGCGAGUGAAGCGGGAAGAGCUCAAAUUUGAAAUCUUGAAAGGUCACCUUUCACGGAUUGUAGUUUAAAGAAGUGUUUUCUGUUACGAUCGUAAUAUAAGUUCUUUGGAAUAGGACAUCACAGAGGGUGAGAAUCCCGUCUAUGAUUGCGAUUUGUAGCUUUGUGAUACACUUUCAAAGAGUCGGGUUGUUUGGGAAUGCAGCCCAAAACGGGAGGUAAAUUUCUUCUAAGGCUAAAUAUUGGCGAGGAGACCGAUAGCGAACAAGUACCGUGAGGGAAAGAUGAAAAGAACUUUGAAAAGAGAGUUAAACAGUACGUGAAAUUGUCAAAAGGGAAGCGUUUGACACCAGUGUUGUUUUCUCGAAAAUCAAUUAAAAAUGGCUCGAUUUUGUAUUGCUGAGACCUUAAAAGCUCACUGUACAUUUUUCGUGUCUUUUUUAAUGCACUUUUCGUUUAACAAGUCAACAUCAGUUUCUUUUGUUGUAAAAGGGUCAUUGGAAGGUGGCUUUCUUUUCGGAGAAAGUGUUUAUAGCCUUUGGCCUCUGCAAUCGAAGAGACUGAGGUCUGCAGCGUAGACUCUUCGGGGUUAGAUACAUUUGUGCUAAGUUAUAGCUUUUUAUAGACAACUUGUUGACUAUAAUUAGUCUUGUAGCUUACUCGCUUAUGCUAUUUUACCUACGCUUAGGAUGUUGAGUAGCGACAUACGCA